rnacentral:misc_RNA from 1 species
AUCAAUAAAAGAACAAACAUCCUUAGGUAUGAUUGGAAAAUGUGGUUCAUUAGAGCUUGAAAGGUGGUGGGGGCAUUAGUCGACCCAAAGGGCAUGACUGUAAAUUCAAAAUGCCCAUUGUGAGUUUUGAAUGCAGUGGGAAUGUCAGGGGAUCCAUUCUAAUUUGGUGGUACCUAGCUCUCAAAUCAAUCUUAGAAAACAUUUUAGCCCCAUACAAUUCAUCCAACAAGUCAUCUA